rnacentral:rRNA from 1 species
GGAUUAGGCAUGCAAGUCGAACGUGAAGCCGUUGAUCAAUCUUUCGAGAGAGUGAUGCGGUGGAAAGUGGCGGAAGGGUGAGUAACGCGUGGGCAAUCUGCCCCUGAGUUGGGGACAACGUCUGGAAACGGACGCUAAUACCGAAUGUGGUUGUUUAACUCCUGUUAAGCACACUAAAGGUGGGGAUUCUUCGGAACCUGCCGCUCUGGGAGGAGCCCGCGUGCCAUCAGCUUGUUGGUAAGGUAACGGCUUACCAAGGCUUACGGCUAGCCGGCCUGAGAGGGUGAUCGGCCACACUGGGACUGAGACACUGCCCAGACUCCUAUGGGAGGCUGCAGUCGAGGAUCAUUCGCAAUGCCCGAAAGG